GAUGAAGAACGUAGCGAAAUGCGAUACGUAAUGUGAAUUGCAGAAUUCAGUGAAUCAUCGAAUCUUUGAACGCAUAUUGCGCUCUCUGGUAUUCCGGAGAGCAUGCUUGUUUGAGUAUCAGUAAACACCUCAACUCCCUUUUCUUUUUUGAAAUUGGAGCUGGACUUGAGUGAUCCCAACGCUUUCUUCCAAGAAAGUGGCGGGUUGCUUGAAAUGCAGGUGCAGCUGAACUUUUCUCUGAGCUAUAAGCAUAUCUAUUUAGUCUGCCUAAAAAACAGAUUAUUACCUUUGCUGCAGCUAACAUAAAGGAGACUAGUUCUUGUGCUGACUGAUGCAGGAUUCACAGAGACAGCUUCGGCUGACUUUGUAAACUCGAUCUCAAAUCAAGUAAGACUACCCGCAGAACUUAAGCAUAUCAAUAAGCGGAGGA
rnacentral:misc_RNA from 1 species